UGGUCAUGAUGUUUGUGCAGAAUA
rnacentral:misc_RNA from 1 species